rnacentral:piRNA from 1 species
UCUCUGGGCUGGAGGAAGAGCAUCU